GAACCAUCUAGUAGCUGGUUCCCUCCGAAAUAUCCCUCAGGAUAGCUAGAACCUAUAUUAGUUAUGUCAGGUAAAGCUAAUGAUUAGAGGUCUUGGAGUUUAAUAGACUUCAACCUAUUCUCAAACUUUAAAUAGGCAAGAAAUAAGUGUUACAUCGGAAUUUCGAACACUUAUAACAAAUAAGGGCUCUAAGUGGGCCGUGUUUUGGUAAGCAGAACAGGCAAAGUGGGUUGAACCGUUAGCAAAUGGGAAAAGCGCCAAAUAUUUACAUAGUGGAAACCAUAAAAGGCGUUGAUUCAUAAAGACAGCAGGAAUGUGGUCAUGGAAGUCGAAAUCAUCUAAGAAGUGUGUAACAACUUACCUGCCGAAUGAAUCAGCCCUGAAAAUUGAUGGCGCCAUAGUAAAUAGCUUCUCCCAUGCCAUUGUUCUAGGUUGCGAUAUAAAGAACAAUGAGUAGGAAGGCGUGACGGUUGCUUUGAAACUCUAUCUAGUAAUUAAGAGUGGAGCGUCCGUUAGUGCAGAU
rnacentral:rRNA from 1 species